ACGUUAGCGGCGGACGGGUGAGUAACACGUGGGUAACCUACCUAUAAGACUGGGAUAACUUCGGGAAACCGGAGCUAAUACCGGAUAAUAUUUCGAACCGCAUUGUUCGAUAGUGAAAGAUGGUUUUGCUAUCACUUAUAGAUGGACCUGCGCCGUAUUAGCUAGUUGGUAAGGUAACGGCUUACCAAGGCGACGAUACGUAGCCGACCUGAGAGGGUGAUCGGCCACACUGGAACUGAGACACGGUCCAGACUCCUACGGGAGGCAGCAGCC
rnacentral:rRNA from 1 species